AAGAUCUGUGGAUAACUUUCCACAUUAAAGGAUAAGAUCCCAAUUAGAGAUAAUGUGAUAAGGCGGGACAAUGUGUACAAGAAAAAAAAAAGAUAUUUCAUUUUGGUGAUCUUGUUCCCUUAGUGAGAGAUAUAUUCCUUAAGAGAAUUUUUUGGCAGCAACUUCCUCUUCAAGCUAGCAACGUUAUAUACCCUUGAUACAAAGGAUAUUUUCCUCACAAAUGAGCCCUAAGUUCGUCGAUGAAGCAGCAAAAUAGAAUAACGACAUAAAGGUUAUGUCGAGGUCAAUUACGUGAUUCAUUACGUCAAUUUCCUACGGAUCAUAGCGAGUCUAUGAUUUUUUCAAAAUAAAGUAAGGUGGAAGAAGAUUAAAUCUUGGCAUAUAUGACCUUGGGAAGCCCGAGACUUAGGUGUGGAUUAGCUUAAGAGGCGGACAAGGUACAAAUACUCGAUUUGGCUAUCCUCCAGCUUAGGAUUUCGACACAGCUGUUUUGGAGAGCUCCAUUGUCCCGGAGCCUAGACUUUUGGUACAGAUCUUUUGAUGUAUAUAUAUGCUUAUCCAGGGGUAUGGAGGGGCCCUGUCCCGUCAUAUUUCACUAUCAAUACUCUUAGAGGUCUGUAGACAUAUGUGUGGGUUGUGUAUAAGUUUUGUUCAGCUGUGUCGAUAUGGCUUACGUAUGGUAUUGACAUGUUGUGGCAACCUUGUCGGCUUGCGUAUGGUAUUGAUAUGUUGUGGCAGCCUUGUCGGCUUGCGUAUGGUAUUGAUAUGUUGUGGCGGCCUUGUCGGCUUGCGUAUCAUAUUAUAUUUUGAUUA